GCUGGAAUCUCUCGGGGUUACAGCCUUGCUGAAUUAUUCACCCUUGUCUUUUGCGUACUUCUUGUUUCCUUGGUGGGUUCGCCCACCACUAGGACAAACAUAAACCUUUUGUAAUUGCAAUCAGCGUCAGUAACAAAUUAAUAAUUACAACUUUCAACAACGGAUCUCUUGGUUCUGGCAUCGAUGAAGAACGCAGCGAAAUGCGAUAAGUAGUGUGAAUUGCAGAAUUCAGUGAAUCAUCGAAUCUUUGAACGCACAUUGCGCCCUUUGGUAUUCCAAAGGGCAUGCCUGUUCGAGCGUCAUUUGUACCCUCAAGCUUUGCUUGGUGUUGGGCGUCUUGUCUCUAGCUUUGCUGGAGACUCGCCUUAAAGUAAUUGGCAGCCGGCCUACUGGUUUCGGAGCGCAGCACAAGUCGCACUCUCUAUCAGCAAAGGUCUAGCAUCCAUUAAGCCUUUUUUCAACUUUUGACCUCGGAUCAGGUAGGGAUACCCGCUGAACUUAAG
rnacentral:rRNA from 1 species